rnacentral:rRNA from 1 species
GAUGAACGCUGGCGGCGUGCCUAAUACAUGCAAGUCGAGCGAACAGACGAGGAGCUUGCUCCUCUGACGUUAGCGGCGGACGGGUGAGUAACACGUGGAUAACCUACCUAUAAGACUGGGAUAACUUCGGGAAACCGGAGCUAAUACCGGAUAAUAUAUUGAACCGCAUGGUUCAAUAGUGAAAGACGGUUUUGCUGUCACUUAUAGAUGGAUCCGCGCCGCAUUAGCUAGUUGGUAAGGUAACGGCUUACCAAGGCAACGAUGCGUAGCCGACCUGAGAGGGUGAUCAGCCACACUGGAACUGAGACACGGUCCAGACUCCUACGGGAAGCAGCAGUAGGGAAUCUUCCGCAAUGGGCGAAAGCUUGACGGAGCAACGCCGCGUGAGUGAUGAAGGUCUUCGGAUCGUAAAACUCUGUUAUUAGGGAAGAACAAAUGUGUAAGUAACUAUGCACGUCUUGACGGUACCUAAUCAGAAAGCCACGGCUAACUACGUG